GAUGAACGCUGGCGGCAGGCCUAAAACAUGCAAGUCGAACGCUGUAGCAAUACAGAGUGGCGCACGGGUGAGUAACAUGUGGGAAUAUGCCUAUUGGUACGGAACAACGUUUGGAAACGAACGCUAAUACCGUAUGGUCCCUUCGGGGUAAAGAUUUAUCGCCAAUAGAUUAGCCCGCACUAGAUUAGCUAGUUGGUGAGGUAAGAGCUCACCAAGGCGACGAUCUAUAGCUGGUCUGAGAGGACGAUCAGCCACACUGGGACUGAGACACGGCCCAGACUCCUACGGGAGGCAGCAGUUAGGAAUAUUGGACAAUGGGCGGCAAGCCUGAUCCAGCCAUGCCGCGUGGAGUGAUGAAGGCC
rnacentral:rRNA from 1 species